rnacentral:rRNA from 1 species
AGGGUUUGAUUAUGGCUCAGAUUGAACGCUGGCGGAUGCUUUACACAUGCAAGUCGAACGGCAGCACGGACUUCGGUCUGGUGGCGAGUGGCGAACGGGUGAGUAAUGUAUCGGAACGUGCCUAGUAGCGUAGAUAACGACAAGCAAAGCAACACGCAUACGCCUCUUCGGGGAAAGCGGGGACCUUCGGGCCUCUGCACUAUUAGGAGCGGCCGAUAUCGGAUUAGCUAGCGGUGGGUAACGGUCACACAAGGCGACGAUCCGUAGCUGGUUUGAGAGGACGACCAGCCACACUGGGACUGGAGACACGGCCCAGACUCCUACGGAGGCAGCAGUGGGGAAUUUUGACAAUGGGAAACCCCGAUCCAGCCAUCCCGCGUGCGAUGAAGGCCUUCGGGUUGUAAAGCACUUUCUUGCAGGAAAGAACACGGAUAAUACCCCGCGCAACUGACGGUACCUGCAGAAUAAGCACCGGCUAAUCCGAUGCGCCAGCAGCCGCGGUAAUACCGUAGGGUGCAAGCACCGGAAUUACUGGCGUAGCGUGCGCAGGCGGUUCGGAAAGAAAGAUGUGAAAUCCCAGAGCUUAACUUUGGGAACUGCAUUUUUAACUACCGAGCUAGAGCGUGUCGAGGAGGUGGAAUUCCGCGUGUAGCAGUGAAAUGCGUAGAUAUGCGGAGGAACAAUGGGAUGGCGGUGCUGCAGCCUCCUGAUAACACUGACGCUCAUGCACGAAAGCGUGGGGAGCAAAUGGCAUUAGAUACUCCCGUAGUCCACGCCCUAAACGAUGUCAACUAGCUGUUAAAGCCUUCGGCCUUGGUAGCGCAGCUAACGCGUGAAGUUGACGCCUGGGGAGUACGGUCGCAAGAUUAAAACUCAAAAAAGGAAUUGACGGGGACCCGCACAAGCGGUGGAUGGCGUGAUUAAUUCGAUGCAACGGCGAAAAAACCUUUACCUACCUUUGACAUGUCUGGAAUCCCGAAGAGAUUUGGGAGUGCUCGCAGAGAACUGGAACACAGCCGCAUGGCUGUCGUCGCUCGUCGUGAGAUGCUGGGUUAAGUCCCGCAACGGCAACCCUUGUCACAGUUGCUGAAGGCACUCUAAUGAGACUGCCGGUGACAAACCGGAGGAAGGUGGGAUGACGUCAAGUCCUCAUGGCCUCUGUAGUGGGUAGGCUUCGUCAUCGUCAUACAAUGGUCGGGACAGAGGUCGCCAACCCCGCGAGGGGGCGCCAAUCCCAGAAACCCGAUCGUAGUCCGAUCGCAGUCUGCAACUCGACUGCGGCUCGGAAUCGCUGGUGGAAUUCGUGAUCAGCAUGUCGCGGUGAAUACGUUCCCGGGUCUUGUACACUGCCCGUCACACCUAUGGGAGUGGGUUUUACCAGAAGUAGUUAGCCUAACCGUAAGGAGGGCGAUUACCACGGUAGGAUUCAUGACUGGGGUGAAGUCGUAACAAGGUAGCCCUG